UUUGAAGACUGUCGCUUCCCUCCCUACCUCUGGUUUUCUGACAAACACUACCAUUCAAAAGAUACCUAAAGCAUCUUAGGUUUUAGGAAACCUUUCUUGCCCUUCCUCCCCUGGUUCUCUGACUGGAACCAGUGACCACUUAGCCCUUCCCUUGGGGUCCUGAAAGACAGUCAUGAGCCCACAGUAUCAUGAUGUCACCUGUGCAUCCCCCACCCCAACUGGACUAUGUGCUUUUGAGGACCUGAUGCUGUCUCUUUCAGCAAGCCCCAGACAUGGGGUAGGUAACUCCACGAUCAUUAGGUGAAUACUACCUUUUUAAGUCUCACUAGUUUUAUGUCUCUCCUUCUAUCAGUUUAAUUUUUAGCUGAUAUCCCUGCCAGUUCCUCACAUUAUUCUACUUAUAAUCUACAGGGAGUAAAAAACUGGUAUUAGCAUCUUGGAAGAACUAAACUCAUCUUAAAUAGGUUUUGCAUGAAGUCUAGAGAUCUUUUUGAGGCAAACCUAUGAGCUUGGGAAGUUCACGCUCCUAUUGACAUUUAUUUUGGCUGUUGUCUGGUUCUUAGUGGUGUUCUGGAUCCUUGAGACUGACAGAUAAUUUUCCCAUAGAAAAAUGGAGUGUAAUAUGAUGUGACCACCAUUUAUUGAGAUCUUCCUUAAUGUGCCAGGUCCUGGGUCAGAAAUGGAGGAUGUAAAGGCCUGGUGAGCAAGGCAUUUAAGAAGCUCAUGUGGAUGGUUUAUAUAAUUUAAAACAAGAUCAUGAUAUAGAGAUUAUACUCACACAUAUGCUCUAUUUUUUACAAAAUGAGUUCACACAGCUAUGGGGUAGAGGCAGCAAAAUAUGAUGCUCACAUCCAGGUGUGGCUGAAGCCUGCUGGGCUUUUUAUCUCCUGCUCCUACUGGGGCUAACCUCUGCAACAAGAACGCAGCGUUUCUCUAGGGAAAAUUUCCAUACAUCUCCUUUCCUCCUUUCACAACCUAACUGUUUGUUCCUGAAUGUGUGUGUGAAAUGUAAUUGCAGAAGGAGGUAGCCUGAAGUUAAUGAGAGUCUAGAAAAAUGUGUCCUGAUGCUGUGAGUUAUUACAAUAGCUGUGUAUGGAUGGUUAAGGCUGAUAGGAGGAGAGAGAGAGAGGGAAGAACCUGAAUAUUAAAACCCAUUCAUGUUCGCAUCCAGUCCAGCGAGUACACAGCCUUCCAGCAGAGGGAGAUGGGGGACGAGGGCACGUGUCCUGGGGCUCAUCACCACCCACUACCCCUCCCACAAGGAAUCGCUGCCUCUGCAAAGUCCUGCCUUUCCUAAAGUCUGAGCACAGGGUCCAUCACCUGGGUGUGGAGGUGGGGACGGAAUGGGCUUCGCUAAUGUGUCCACAGAAGAGACCGCAAACAUCUCAAUGUGCCAAAGCAGGUGGUGUUAUAGUGGCCACUGAGGAGGAUUCUGAAGCGGUCCCUGGACUCAGUGCAAAGGAUCCUGGGAGCAGUGGCCAACGUCUGUCCAGAGAUGGAGGGAAGCAUGUCCUGUAUUUAUCAUCCUCUGUAGAAGUUUCUUUUGUCAUUUAGCAUAAGCCAUGUUAUUAUGUAUCUAAUUUCAGGAACUAGAAAAUCUGUCCCUGUUCCUGAACUCAGCUGAAAGCAUGCAAUGGUAGAGUAAGAUACAAUCUACUGUAUCUGUUUGGUCUGGCACAUAGUAGGUACUCAAUAAAUGUUACUGAAGAAAUGAAUGAAAAAUUCUAGCAUAUGUUAGAAGAAGGAUAGAGUUCUUUCCUUCACUCAAUAAUUAGGGGAAAUGGGUAUACUGAGGUCACUUUGAAAAGGGCUUUGAAUGCCAUGCCAAAAGGUUUAGGGCAUUAGACUGCAUGAGCCAAUCAAUAGUUCUCCAACUUAGCUGGAUUCUCUAAGGUACUAUGUAUAAAUAGACUCUCUAGCCCUACCUAAUGAUGUUCUGAUUUAAGUCUUGGGUGGAGUCAAGGAUUCCCUGCCUUUUUGUUUGUUAGUCUUAAUGAUUUGCUAGCUUCCCAGGAGAUAUGUAUGAUCAGACAGAUUUGGGAAUUAUAGAUACACGGUAAAAGGGUUCCACUGACAUUCUUACUCUGCGAUUACAGGUCUUUGUUUCUGAUGCUGCAUCUCUGAGACCUGCCUGCCCAGUGAGGUCAGGCCUGUCCCUGCCUUUGCUGUGACCCUGGACCUGCCAGACCUUGGUGAGCUGGCUUCGAUUCCCAAAGAACCUUGCCCAGUAACACCUCUCACAGGAAGAAAGAUAAACAGAUCAGGAGGUGGAGAUCUCGAGAGGGAGAGAUGUCCUAGGAGCGUCAAUCAAUGGGUACAACCUGAAACCCUAUCUGUAGUAUUUAAAGCCAACACUGAGCAUGUCACACUUUCUAAGCACUUCUGAUGCCUUCAAAGAGAGACCAUGUGUCAGGCAAAGAGCACAGCUAAUUCCUCCAACUGACCUAUUCCUUAAUCUAAGCACCCUGCACUGUGCUGACAGUAGCUGAUGGAGAAUCACAGCUAAAGUGCAUUCAACAGCUGAUAACACCCAAGUUGAGCCCUCGGGAGGUAGAGGGAUGUGGGGAGGAGGGAGGUAGGAGAUCUGACUCUGCCACCAAAUAGCUGUGGCGUACUGGGCAAAUCUCUUCCCUCCUGAGACCUCAGUUUCUCUUCUGUAAAUUAAACAGUGGCUGAAGUUCCUUCCAGCCCUAGAAUUACAUAAAGCUAAACAGAAUGAGGAGAAUAAUACCCCAGGAUGUCAUUCUCAGAUUAAAGAGAUGUACUCAUCAUCUGGUAUUUAUAUAAUCAGAGAAACACUGCUACUAAUUUAUUUUGAGAGAGAAACUGGUUGAUUUUCUAAAACAAGCCCAGCCAGUUGGCAUGGGUCCUAUUCAAGUGCUCUAGCUUAAGCAAGCAUCUCUAUGAACAUCCUGUAGCCAAAAUUGGCUCCCCCCACCCAAAAGAAGCACA